AUGGUUGGAGGGCCAACAGAGGAAAAAUGGAGACUUACUGGGUUCUAUGGUGAGCCUAGAUGGGAGGACAAACACCUGACUUGGGGCUACCUGCGGGGUCAUGAGGGACAGAUCCCAUGGGUGGUUGUAGGAGACUUUAACGAUAUCCUAUACUCACAUGAGAAAGAAGGCGAAGCACCUAGGCCAGUCAAUAUGAUGCAAAACUUCAGGGAUGCGCUGGUGGACUGCGAACUUGAGGACAUGGGGUUUACAGGUGAUCAAUUCACAUGGCGGAGGCGUAGACUGCAGGAACGCCUAGACAGAGCAGUGUGCAAUGGACCCUUCCAUGGGUUGUUCCCAAGCUACGUGACCAACGCGCCGCACACUAAGUCUGACCAUCGCCCGGUGAUCCUUGAUCUAGAGGGUGCAGCUGGCAUGGACCAACAAUCAUACGUGAGGCCCAAGCAGUUCGAAGCUCGUUGGCUACAGGAGGAGGAGGUCAUGCAGCGUGUAUCUGAGGCUUGGGAGCGAACAUGCAUCUCGGACUCCCUUGCUCAACGCACUUCAGCGGUGCACCAGGAUCUCCAUAGGUGGGAUCGCAAAGUUCUGAAAGCCCCUCACCGGCGCUUGAAAGAACUAAAGGAGGAGUUGGAUUUGCUGCGGUCGGGGCCACUUUCUGAUGAGUCAGCAGAUCGGCAGCAUAGUUUGCUCAUUGAGAUUGAAGAAAUGAUGGAGAAGGAAGAAAUUUAUUGGGUCCAGCGCAGCAGGGCAAAUUGGUUGAAGUUCGGUGACAGAAAUACUCAUUUUUCAAUAAUUUUGCUACUGCUCGUAAGAAAAGAAACUUCAUUCGGCGCUUGA
rnacentral:rRNA from 1 species